GUUCCGCGCGCUGCCGGUCCCUUGUACCCAGCAGCCCCGGCCACCGCCCCUCCGUACCGAACUGCGAGCGACUCCCCACGUUCUUCAAGUCAUCUUUCUGUACACUCCCAACGAGGGCCCCAGCCUUUUCCCGGAACUAAGCCCGCGCCCACCCCCUCCCCCGCCAUCAAUCAGUCACUUUCUUAGGAAGGGUUCUUAAAGCUCCCCACGUGAUCCCGGGGUCGCAUCAAACGCUGGGGACUGCGGUAAAGCUUAGACCUUUCCUGACCUCAAGGAGGGUCCAUAAUAAGAGGCUGGAAGGGACAUGCUGUUACUACAAUCGGGCUCCCAGAAAACAACAGGAUUGCACCUUGUGGCCAAAUCUCAGUAAAUUAGAUGCCUAGUGCUGCAGCGAACAAAAUAGCAUGCUGAUUUACUGUUUUUUGAAAAAGUGCCUGCAUAUAAUCAAAACGGUAAUGCUAAGUUGGCUACUGAAGGCAAAGGCGGAAUGUUUUAUCUGAGCCAAAGUAAUGUGUCAGAGAAAUUACUAAUACACCCC
rnacentral:lncRNA from 1 species